rnacentral:rRNA from 1 species
GAGUGGCGGACGGGUGAGUAACACGUGGGUAACCUGCCCAGAAGCAGGGGAUAACACCUGGAAACAGAUGCUAAUACCGUAUAACAGAGAAAACCGCCUGGUUUUCUUUUAAAAGAUGGCUCUGCUAUCACUUCUGGAUGGACCCGCGGCGCAUUAGCUAGUUGGUGAGGUAACGGCUCACCAAGGCGAUGAUGCGUAGCCGACCUGAGAGGGUAAUCGGCCACAUUGGGACUGAGACACGGCCCAGACUCCUACGGGAGGCAGCAGUAGGGAAUCUUCCACAAUGGACGCAAGUCUGAUGGAGCAACGCCGCGUGAGUGAAGAAGGGUUUCGGCUCGUAAAGCUCUGUUGUUAAAGAAGAACGUGGGUGAGAGUAACUGUUCACCCAGUGACGGUAUUUAACCAGAAAGCCACGGCUAACUACGUGCCAGCAGCCGCGGUAAUACGUAGGUGGCAAGCGUUAUCCGGAUUUAUUGGGCGUAAAGCGAGCGCAGGCGGUCUUUUAAGUCUAAUGUGAAAGCCUUCGGCUCAACCGAAGAAGUGCAUUGGAAACUGGGAGACUUGAGUGCAGAAGAGGACAGUGGAACUCCAUGUGUAGCGGUGAAAUGCGUAGAUAUAUGGAAGAACACCAGUGGCGAAGGCGGCUGUCUGGUCUGUAACUGACGCUGAGGCUCGAAAGCAUGGGUAGCGAACAGGAUUAGAUACCCUGGUAGUCCAUGCCGUAAACGAUGAUUACUAAGUGUUGGAGGGUUUCCGCCCUUCAGUGCUGCAGCUAACGCAUUAAGUAAUCCGCCUGGGGAGUACGACCGCAAGGUUGAAACUCAAAAGAAUUGACGGGGGCCCGCACAAGCGGUGGAGCAUGUGGUUUAAUUCGAAGCUACGCGAAGAACCUUACCAGGUCUUGACAUCUUCUGCCAACCUAAGAGAUUAGGCGUUCCCUUCGGGGACAGAAUGACAGGUGGUGCAUGGUUGUCGUCAGCUCGUGUCGUGAGAUGUUGGGUUAAGUCCCGCAACGAGCGCAACCCUUAUUACUAGUUGCCAGCAUUCAGUUGGGCACUCUAGUGAGACUGCCGGUGACAAACCGGAGGAAGGUGGGGACGACGUCAAAUCAUCAUGCCCCUUAUGACCUGGGCUACACACGUGCUACAAUGGAUGGUACAACGAGUUGCGAAACCGCGAGGUUUAGCUAAUCUCUUAAAACCAUUCUCAGUUCGGACUGUAGGCUGCAACUCGCCUACACGAAGUCGGAAUCGCUAGUAAUCGCGGAUCAGCAUGCCGCGGUGAAUACGUUCCCGGGCCUUGUACACACCGCCCGUCACACCAUGAGAGUUUGUAACACCCAAAGCCGGUGGGGUAACC